UGGAACCUUGGCGGCGUGCCUAUACAUGCAAGUCGAACGAACUCUGGUAUUGAUUGGUGCUUGCAUCAUGAUUUACAUUUGAGUGAGUGGCGAACUGGUGAGUAACACGUGGGAAACCUGCCCAGAAGCGGGGGAUAACACCUGGAAACAGAUGCUAAUACCGCAUAACAACUUGGACCGCAUGGUCCGAGUUUGAAAGAUGGCUUCGGCUAUCACUUUUGGAUGGUCCCGCGGCGUAUUAGCUAGAUGGUGGGGUAACGGCUCACCAUGGCAAUGAUACGUAGCCGACCUGAGAGGGUAAUCGGCCACAUUGGGACUGAGACACGGCCCAAACUCCUACGGGAGGCAGCAGUAGGGAAUCUUCCACAAUGGACGAAAGUCUGAUGGAGCAACGCCGCGUGAGUGAAGAAGGGUUUCGGCUCGUAAAACUCUGUUGUUAAAGAAGAACAUAUCUGAGAGUAACUGUUCAGGUAUUGACGGUAUUUAACCAGAAAGCCACGGCUAACUACGUGCCAGCAGCCGCGGUAAUACGUAGGUGGCAAGCGUUGUCCGGAUUUAUUGGGCGUAAAGCGAGCGCAGGCGGUUUUUUAAGUCUGAUGUGAAAGCCUUCGGCUCAACCGAAGAAGUGCAUCGGAAACUGGGAAACUUGAGUGCAGAAGAGGACAGUGGAACUCCAUGUGUAGCGGUGAAAUGCGUAGAUAUAUGGAAGAACACCAGUGGCGAAGGCGGCUGUCUGGUCUGUAACUGACGCUGAGGCUCGAAAGUAUGGGUAGCAAACAGGAUUAGAUACCCUGGUAGUCCAUACCGUAAACGAUGAAUGCUAAGUGUUGGAGGGUUUCCGCCCUUCAGUGCUGCAGCUAACGCAUUAAGCAUUCCGCCUGGGGAGUACGGGCCGCAAGGCUGAAACUCAAAGGAAUUGACGGGGGCCCGCACAAGCGGUGGAGCAUGUGGUUUAAUUCGAAGCUACGCGAGACCUUACCAGGUCUUGACAUACUAUGCAAAUCUAGAGAUUAGACGUUCCCUUCGGGGACAUGGAUACAGGUGGUGCAUGG
rnacentral:rRNA from 1 species